rnacentral:rRNA from 1 species
UCGGGAAUUUUGGGCAAUGGGCGAAAGCCUGACCCAGCAACGCCGCGUGAAGGAUGAAAUUUUUCGGAAUGUAAACUUCGCAAGAACGGGAAGAAUAAGUGGGGGAUAAUACCCCCCAUGAUGACGGUACCGUUUGUAAGCUCCGGCUAACUCCGUGCCAGCAGCCGCGGUAAUACGGGGGGAGCAAGCGUUGUUCGGAUUUACUGGGCGUAAAGGGCGCGUAGGCGGCCACGACAAGUCACUUGUGAAAUCUCCGGGCUUAACCCGGAACGGUCAAGUGAUACUGUCGGGCUAGAGUGCAGAAGGGGCAACUGGAAUUCUCGGUGUAGCGGUGAAAUGCGUAGAUAUCGAGAGGAACACCUGCGGCGAAGGCGGGUUGCUGGGCUGACACUGACGCUGAGGCGCGAAAGCCAGGGGAGCGAACGGG